UCGAUUCCAAAUGGUGUGAAUUUGUGAGUCAAAGAUUGAUCAGGUUAAAUCAUGAUUGGCUUAGUUAGCAUCUACUCUGCAUAGUUAAUUAAAUGUGAAAAUAAAAAAAGAACAUCGGCUAAGUGCCACAGAGCUCAGUAACAAAAGGGAAAUCACAAACAAACUGUUUGCAUGUUUCCCGUUCUCGAUGUGUGUGGAGCUGGAAAUGAAAUUUCGUGUUAAAUAAAUCAUAAACAGUUGGAUUAUUAACCACAUCAAGUGUAUAAAUUAGCCGGGCACGCAAGCACCUCGGAAAUACUCAAGGAUGCCAUCCCUUGGUCAAUUCGCUCACAGUUUGCAAGCGGACAGGAUGCAGCCCAACGAUAACGAACGAAAAUCGAAACAUGUGUAAAACGAUCGAGAACAAUGAUAGUAGCUUUUAACUUCCUCAAACACUUGGCUACUGAAGGAAACGAUCCAAUUCAAUUUCAAUAAAAUCAAUUUACUGCACCCAGA